AUGGACUAGAUAAAUUUAUGUACU
rnacentral:piRNA from 1 species